rnacentral:rRNA from 1 species
GGAAUCGAUAACCGCUGAAAGCAUCUAAGCGGGAAGCGAGCCCCGAGAUGAGUCAUCCCUAGGUUCUUGAAACCUCUGAAGGGCCGUUUGAGACUAAGACGUAGAUAGGCAGGGUGUGGACGCGUUGCGAGACGUGAAGCUAACCUGUACUAAUGCCCCGUGCGGCUUAACCAUACAACACCCAAGAAGUGU